AUGCCGAACCCUACCGCCGAUCACGUCAACUCACCGUGGACACUGGCCAUCCGCGCUGCCGCAGACCAGGGCCUCCCGCGCCGCGCCAUUGCGCUCUACCUAUCGUCCUUCCGCUCCGGCGCCGCCCACCGCCCCUGCCCCUUCGCCCUCGCGGCCGUCCUCAAGUCCGUCUCCCGCCUCCCCGCCCAUACUGUGGCCACGGCUGCCGCUUCCUUCCACGCUCAUAUUCUUCGCCUAGGCCUCCUCGCGCACCCGUACCCACACGCCGCGCUUGCCAACCUCUAUUCCCGCGACCCCGUCGCUGCGCGCAGCCUGCUCGACGAAACGCCUCCCUCGGGAGCACGGGCGCCGCAUUCCCUACUCGUUUCCCGGAACUCACUGCUCGCCUCACUUCUCCGCUCCGGGGACCUCUCUGCCGCGCGCGCUCUGUUCGACCAGAUGCCCGUGAGGGACAUUGUGUCAUGGAACUCCAUGGUCGCGGGCCUCGCCAAGGCUGGUCGCCUCGACAGCGCCAUCGAGCUCUUCGACCAGAUGCCUGAGCGGAACGCCGCGUCCUGGAAUGCCGUCAUUUGUGGGCUCAUCGCCCAUGGCCACCUGACUCGAGCGAGGGAGAUGUUCGAGCAGAUGCCUGUCAGGAGCAACAUCUCCUGGAUCACGAUGAUCUCCGGGUAUGCCAAGGCUGGCGACGUUCAGGCUGCUGCUGGCCUGUUUGAACGGAUGGAGAACAAGAAUGAUCUUUAUGCGUGGAAUGUGAUGAUUACAUGCUAUGCACAAAAUGGCUGUGCGAGGGAGGCGAUUGGAGUUUUCAACCGGAUGCUCAAGCCUCAUGUCUGUGUUCUGCCCAAUGAGAAAACUUUCUCAUCUGUCAUCUCCGCUUGCUCCCAGCUAGGGAACUUGAGGUUUGGGCUGUGGGUUAAGAGCUUCAUGGGGUCUCUGGGAAUUGAACUGGAUGAUCACUUGCGCACCGCCCUCGUGGAUUUGUACACCAAGAGUGGGCGGAUUGAUAGCGCUUUUGAUUUGUUCAAAGGCCUGAGGACAAGAGACGUGGUAUCUUACAGUGCAAUGAUUGUGGGCUGCGGGAUGAAUGGCAAGUUAAACGAAGCUAUAGGUUUAUUCAAGGAGAUGUCUGACGCAAAUAUUCGUCCUAAUGCAGUGAGCUUUGUGGGAUUGUUGUCUGCAUACAACCAUGCUGGGCUAGUGGAAGAAGCUCGAGCUUGUUUUGCUUCCAUGUCAAGCAAAUAUAAGAUUAGACCUUCAACGGAACACUACACCAUCAUGGUAGAUCUCCUUGGGCGUAGCGGGAAGUUGGAUGAAGCGUUUCAGCUGAUCAGGCAGAUGCCGAUGCAACCACAUGCUAGCGUUUGGGGUGCUUUGCUUCUUUCUUGCAGGUUGCAUAACAAUGUUGAGCUUGGGGAGGUCGUUGCUUCCAAGUGCUUUGAACAGGCGCCUGGAGAGAGUGGAUAUUACAUACUGUUGGGGAACAUAUAUGCACAAGCAAACAAAUGGGACAAGCUUAAGAGGUUAAGGAAGACAAUGAAGGAAAGAGGCUUGAGUAAGAUGCCUGGGAGUAGUUGGGUGCUGGCUGAAUAG
rnacentral:rRNA from 1 species